GUAAUUGAAGAACUGCUGGAUGAAUUACAUGGGGCAGUUUGGUUCUCGAAACUGGACCUACGGUCGGGAUACCAUCAAAUUCGGCUGGCACCAGGCGAGGAAUACAAGACGGCAUUCAAACUCAUUCAGGUCACUAUGAAUUCAAAGUGGUUUCUUUUGGGUUGGCUGGGGGUUCGGCCACGUUCAACGGAGGCCUCCAUACCACACUCCAUCCCUUACUCCGACACUGUGUGUUGCUCUUUUUCGACGACAUUCUCGUCUUCAGUAAGACUCUGGAAGAUCAUGACAAUCACCUGCGACAGGUAUUCCAACUGCUUCAGCGAGAUCAGUGGAAAGUGA
rnacentral:rRNA from 1 species